GUCACCGGAUUGAAACUGUCUCAGGACCUCGAUGAUCUUGCCAUUCUCUACCUGGCCACAGUUCAAGCCAUUGCUGAAGCAAUGGCAAAAAUGAGCAAAGUUGGGAAAGUUGUGUUCCCGAGACUACAGGAUAAAAAACUAUUUCCUGUAUGAUAUCCUAUGGGAAGCCAGAGGUGUUGUAAUCCAGAAACACCCAUUGUUCACCAGGACUGCAGGACACAUGCUUUCAGAAUUCAAGGGCAUAGUUACAAAUAAUUACCAUCAAGAAUUUAAAAUGAAGGACAUCGUUGCUAAACAAGAAACUAAUGACUGAGUGGAGCUGUGUAAUGUAAUUAUACUUAAGAUGGGACUUCUGACGAAUUACAGAAGAAUCUUUGUGCUGUCUCAUGUCUCCAUAAAUACACUUAACCGCUAUUGACAGUAAUAGGAGGGAGUCUUGAAUAUGAAAAGCUUUUUUUAUCCUUUUAUGAUUUCUAGAGGGAAAACUUAAAAGAACAAUUAUAUUUUUAAAAAAGAUGUUUCUCCCAGUACUUCUGAAUAUUUGACAAUCCUAUAAAAUUUGUAAAACUAAAGUAACUUUAAAAGCAAAGACUUCUGCUAAUAAAUCCCGACUUCUCAAUUUA
rnacentral:sRNA from 1 species